rnacentral:tRNA from 1 species
GGCGGAUGUAGCCAAGGCUCAAGGCAUGGAUUGUGAAUCCACCAUGCGCGA